UGCCUUGACUUUGGGAUAACUUCAGGAAACUGGGGCUAAUACCGGAUAGGAGCUCCUGCUGCAUGGUGGGGGUUGGAAAGUUUCGGCGGUUGGGGAUGGACUCGCGGCUUAUCAGCUUGUUGGUGGGGUAGUGGCUUACCAAGGCUUUGACGGGUAGCCGGCCUGAGAGGGUGACCAGCCACAUUGGGACUGAGAUACGGCCCAG
rnacentral:rRNA from 1 species